UGAAAUCCCUUAUUUUCCACCCGGAUAAACAGUAACCCGAACUGAUAGUGGGUUACUUCAUCCCGGUUUUGAUCCACUUCCAGGACUCCAAAUUUGAUGAAAUUUUUACCUAACAUUCUACACUCAUAGAGGAUUCCAAAGAGAUAACAUGCAUCAUCAUCGGAGGCCGUUUGACCCCCUAAAUAAUUCGCCGAAGUUGGGACUUCGACACAGUUUUUCCGUAGUGCCGGAAAAAUUUGUUAAAAUCCGAUUCUUCCUCUUUUAACCACCUCUACAACCCUUAUCCGACCCCUCUAGACUAUAUCCACCCUUUGUAUAGCCUAAUGUCAUCAAAAGACUAGAUAGGGACGGAUAUUUACCUUUUUCUUUUUGGAAAUCGAGGUCCUUGCGUAGAGAAGAAGGAGAUCUACACUUUUUCCGUUAGCUGGAAGUGCAACCGG
rnacentral:lncRNA from 1 species